ensembl:lncRNA
CUUGCAGGACUGGUUUGAAAACCACUGGUGUAGAGUAUCUCACAUAAAUACAGUCUGUUAUUAAACAGGUGGGUGAAAACUGUAUGUGUGUCAGUAUUGCAUGCAUGCCUUCUGUCUAAAUGGACAGCAUUACGCAUUCCUAAUUAAAUACAUAUGUGUGUAAAUAAAUGUAUACAUUUUAAAGGAGCCAUGUGUAAUGUCUGGCAAAAAAAUCUAGUCAUACUCCACAUUCCAUACCAGAUGGGGGCAGUAUGCCUCAAUAAAGUGAAUUGGUCUACUCUAGAGUAACAAACGAGAAACGGCAUAGUCUCUAUGCUCCGCCCCUACCUUCACAACAACCCUAGAGCCAUAGCCGAAGCCUAAAGGACAUUUUGCCUCCAGAGGAACGUUAGGUGAUGUCAAGUGAUUUUGAAACAUGACAUCUUCAAGCUACUCCUUGAGACACACGCAAUUGACUCUUUUCACACGCUUUCAAAAUUUGACCGCUCUGAAUAUAGUGAGUGAGUGCGCGCGCGGCCGGGGCUCGCUCGCUCUCUCUCUCGCUCUCUCUCUCUCUCGGGUUCAUUAUCAUCGAAGACAUUUCAAGCUUCUUAGGUAAUGUUACAUUUUAGCAUCAGCUUGGUAGAGACGGGCUUUGGUAGAUAACAGGUGAAAACCGGAUCGGAUCUGUGGGUAAGUUAUAGCUAGCUAAUUAUCAAACGCAGCUACGGUUAGCCAUCGCUAACAUUAGCACGUUUAUCGAACAGCCUUCGAUACAUUUCUAUGUUAUAACUUCCCGAAAAAAAUACGCAAACAUAUAAAACAAACUUCUAGCGAAAUACUAACAGCAUCUUACUUACCAAUCCAAAAGAAAUGUUGCAAGUUCGGAGUCGAACCUCAUUUCUUUCAAGUCCAUCAGUUGUCUCCAGCGAUGGAAAGCAGUGCCGAUGUUUACUCUGGUUCGGCUCCUUUUCUUAUCGGAUUUGAUUUGUGAUUCCGAGCGCGGUUGUACCUUCCACACGAUUGACAUCAGGUUCCAGUACGCCCACAAGCCGUGCGAGUUAUUCGUGUAUUGCAGGUUGACUGGUGGUAAUGUUGCCCGCAUACCGCCUCCCAUGGCUGAAACUGGUAUUACGACACCUGUCGGGCCGUGGCUAGUAAUGCUAAUGCUAAUUAAGGUUGAUAUCUCUGCAGCACUAUAACUUGACAUUUUUUUAAAUGACAUCAUCGCCCUUAUUUCUUCUCAUUCUUUUGAUGCGUGUAGGUCAUUUUUUUGAUAUUUUUACCUCAAUUUUUACACAUGGCACCUUUAAGUCAACUUACUGUAUCUGAAAAAAAUUUAUCUCUACCCAAAAAUGAAAAUUGUCAUAAUUUAUUCCAGUUUUUCCAAAU